UCCAUUCUUUAUGGCUGUGAAAACCGACUGCCGACUGGGGAGAGUUAAGAAAUUGUUCUCGUUUGACAUCCUGCUGCUGUCCUCUGUCGGAUUUUGGUGCCCAGGAGGAGAAUGCUCUCUUUCUGCUCCGGAAGCUUGGCUCCCCAGUUGACGUCCAGGUUGACGUCAUCUCAAGAACAGGCUCUCUGUUAGCGAUCGGCAGUGUCUGCUGCCUUGGCUACGGGAGGAGCUUGUCUGAGAACUGCUGUUGCUCUCACACGCUGACCCGUGUUGACAGGUCCCUCCUUAUAUGGGCAUCAUCUCAGCGACCAAUGACCCUCUGAUUCAUUCGAGAACAGUAAGCGCUGUUGCAUUCUGGGAACUAUAGUUUAUUGGAUUCAUGUUCAGUUUGAGACAUAUACGUCUUGAAAAUUGCAUGUUAAAUUACACUUUGACACUCACCCAGCUAUAGUAGUUAUGCAUAAUCAUUGAUUUUAAUUAAAAUGAUCUGUCUUACCAGAGGUGCCAAAAAAACGAGUCUUGCCAAUAGCCUGGCACCUCUGUUCAGUGAGAAUUUACGAAAUAAUACACUAUUGUAUGUCAAAUAAACUUCCUUACCAAAAUUAGCCUCCAUUAAGUUGCGUCGCUGUCGAGGAAAACAAUUCCCCUUUCCGUUUGACUAAAUAUGUGCCCAAUUUGAACCUUACCACAAGGGGGUACUAAUGUUUAAGAAACGCUGACAAACUGUUUAAUUUAUUUGCAGAGACAUGUAGAUUGUCUAUAUUUCAUUCCCAUAAUUAAAGUUAAAUAUGCUUGAAGCUUAAACUUUAAAAUUGUGUAGUAUGCUUCUUAUUUUCCAAUUCUGUUAUAUAUAACUUUAUAAUAUCCAUCCAUCUUGCAGCUGGUUAUCAUGCUUGGGGUCUUGAAAAGGCUUGGAGUCUAUCCCUUAUUGAACAAGGCAGGGGUACACCCUGGGCGGAAUGCCAGUCCCAAAAAUACAAAAUCCAUCCAUCUUCUAACCACUGAUCCUGGUCAGGGUGGCGCGUGCUCGUGGAGCCUAUCCGAUAAGGCACCAGACAGGGGUACACCCUGGGCGAGAUGCCAGUCCCAAAAAUACAAUAUGUUAUCCUUUCCAAAAAUCUCGCACACAGAGAGCAUUGAUUUAAACUCAGUGUGAUUGACCUGAGCCUUUAUAAAGAUCCUUUAUUGUUCUCUAAAUGGUAUUCGGGGAUUACAUGUUUACUUAAUGGUGGUUCUAAGGGAAGCAGCACACUGCCUCAGUAAGUAACGCUGUUGUCCUACCAAGGGCAUAACAUUGUGGGUGGUUGAGGUCUCCACCCAUUUUGUGAUUAUUUGGGGGGAGCUGUAUUGGCCUGUUUUGAUUAUUGGAGGGGGGGUGGGGAGUUACAUCCCAUCCAUCCCCCCAGUAAUUUAUGCCUACGUGUCUCACCUCCAGGGCUGGGGAAUCUGUAUUCCAACAAUGCUUUGUAUGUACAUAUAUGUGCAUGUUCUUUCCGUGUUAUGUUGGUUUCCACUUGCCAUUCAAAGGCAUACAGUUACGCUAACUAGUGUUUCUAAAUUGGCCAUAGACCAUGACUUGUGCCCGCCCUCUGGUGGACUGGCAUCCCACCCAGAUUGUCUCUCAGCGUGGCGCAGCCUGGGAUGCCCUGUGACCCUCACAAGGGUAAGUGGUUAUAAGACGGAUGGUUGAUAUUUACGGUGGUAUUAAGAGCCCCCACCCAGAAACGUUUAAUGGAUAAUUAAAAGGCACCCUUUCAGCUGUGUUAGGGAUCUCCUCUCCCAGGCUCUAUGUCUCUUUACCCCUUCUGGCUCAGCCCUUUUCCUGCAUCGGUUCGGUAACAACCAACUUCAGCUCAAAUUGCACCUUCAUAUUUCAGUUCGCCUAAAAUAAAAUAUAAAUAUAACAGAAAUAUAAAUGGAAAUUCAAAUAAAUAUAGAAAAACCAGCAUGCCAGAAAUUGUAAAGACUUACUUAUCCCAGUGUUUAUUUCUUUUUGUCAAGGUUUUUCUCUCAGUGAAAAUUGUCUUGGAAUAUAACCAGUGCAAAAAUGGUCUUUAUACAAAUGUGUGUAGUUGGUUGGGUGGGGGAGGGGAUUGUCAAAAUCUCCUUUGAGUCAUCUGGGAUUCUGCUGAAAGGAAACCUUACAUUUUUCUGUGAUAAUCUCAGGUGAAGUGUUUAGAUUGUUCUGUACUGUCUAUGAACAUUUGCUUUAGACACUGAGUUUUUUGAGUGGAUGCAUAAUGACCCCUUGACUCUUUUUUGCAGCUCCAGAUUUUCCCGAGUUCAGCACAUCCCUGGGUCAACGGAGGAGGGGCUUGCAUUUCACUUAUUUAACCAAUCACAGUCUUCACUAUAUGACAUCACCACAUUAAUUAAAGCCAAUGUUUUCUGCGAACCAGCAAGGUGCACAGAUUAGUAAAGUACUCAUUUUAUUGUGUAUGUCUUUUGUUAAAGGACAUGUCAUAAAUACAAAACAUAGGAACAUGCUUACCUGCGAUGGUUGUAUGGAACAAUGUAAGGGCAUGUCUAUAAGAACAGCAGCAACAACAAAGCUUGAGCCAGUGAUCUUCCAAUCACAGACACAGAGGCUUAACCCACUGAGCCACACACUGCCCCUAGCUCAAUGGCUAGAAGCCUGGAGUUUGAAAAUGAGGGAAAAAAACAGAACAAUGUGGUGAUGUCAUACAAUGAAGAUUGUGAUUGGUUAUAGAAAUGACACAGGGACCCAGCCAGAUAGGAUAGCAGAGAUUCUUGCAGUCUCAGUGACAUUAGGCAGCUCAGCUCAGAAGAGCAGGUGCUGUUGUGGUUGAGGGUGUGGAUUUUGGACCUGAAAGCAUCUGCUGUUGCACCCUUUAGCAUGGUAUUUAACCUACACUGCUCUGGUACAAAUUUUCAGGUCAUUUAAUAGGUUAAAGUGCUUGUUUUGGAUUAAGGAAUCAGCUCAAUGAGUAAAGAUACACAUCCAGUCUGAGCUGUUUAAUGAAACAAAGUUUUGGACUUAAACAGCUCUAUUCACAACGAGGUUAGCGGAGUUAGCAAGCUUGUAAAAUUGUUUUGGGAAGAAGAGAUCAUGCACAAGAAAAACGGGACACGUUCAGAAAAAAGAUGUAUCCAGGAGGAAGAUUAGUUAUCCAGGCAGAUGGUGUCAUCCAAAGGUACUUGUGAUUGUGUAGGUGAUAUGUGUACAUACACCAGCCGGUAAUCACUCUGCAAAAAAGCUGCUUCUUCAGAGCAGUAAGCGAGGUCUUUGCCAACUACUACAAUAGCUUACAAGUAAAACUAUUGCAAAAUGUAAUUAUCAUCUCUUAAGAAAACACUGCCGCAUCUUGUCAGAGUUGAGGUGCAAAAGAUGUGCCAAACAUUAACAGCCUGUUUAAAAAAAAAUGAACACUCAAGACGAGACGGCAGUUUAGAGCGAGGGGCUCUGCAACACAAGAGUUCCUGCAUUCAAAUUUAAUUAAAAUAUUUAUUACACAUGAUUAUAGGUGAAACAGAAGGAAUCAGAAAUGCAUCCUAGGAGUUGUAUGUUGUGUUUUAAGUAAUGAAAACAACUAGAAACAGCUCCAAGCCAUCAGAGUUGUGGGCUGGGUAGACAGGAGAAAUCUGAGCAGGACUGCAGCUGAACGCUUCCCCGUUCAGACCUUUAGACCCCACAGUGCCGCACACACCACCUACGCCAUCCUUCCCUGCGCGCGUGGCCAAGACCCAGGGCAGGAUUUAUGGUGGACCUUUGAUUGAAGGCUUAAGCGUCGCUUCCUGUCUGGACCUGUUCAGAUGUGCGUUGCUAGAGGCCCCACUUGUCCUGCGUGUAUGUGCCUGUAUGUCAGCAUGUCUGAGUCAUGAUGCCAUUUCUAAAAGCAGGCCAGGGCUGAAAUGCAUCUGAAAAUCAAGGGCGUAGGUUUGGUUUCAACGUUGGUAGGGACCAAAUCUGCCCGAACCCCCCUCCCCCCUAAACACACACGGUACUCCCACAAUAUAGGUAGAGGCAUGUCCCUGCCUUUGGUAAAAUGAAUCUCUCAUGCUCAUAUAGCAACAUGUGAACAAUGUCACCUACAGGUUGUCAUGUGACAUCUUAUUCCUAAACCAUUUCUUCCUUGUGAACACAUGUCUGAACAUCUAUCUAUCUAUCUAUCUAUCUAUCUAUCUAUCUAUCUAUCUAUCUAUCUAUCUAUCUAAUAAAACAUAGCAAGCAUUUGAAACAGUUUUAAAAUGCAUUCUCCUACUGUUAACUCAGGUAAUAUUUCUAACCUCUUUAUAAGGAUGUGAGGGUUUAACACUUCCAACCAUCACAGACAGCAUAGUAAACCUGGACAGCAUAUGCUGAACUUUCGAAAUCGUAAAUCCUCUUAGUUGAGGUCAGAGUUGAAUUGCUUAUGUGACUCAUUGUGAUUUCAGGCUUUCAUGAAUAUGCAUAUUAAAUGUCUGUGCAGUUUUGUACAGCUAUGAAAAGGUUUCUGGGUAAUGACCAUUGUCAGUAGUGUUAAACUUAGACUAGCAGGAUGUGCAUAAUUCCUGCCCUGUUGUCUAUGACCGCCGCUGGAUCUUCUACUUUUCUCUGUCAAUGAUUUCACUACACAAACAAAAAACAGCUUAAAAAAUCUUUACAGCACCAUUGGCUAAAUAGUAAUUAGACAGUGUGUACGUGAGAGAUUUUGGUAAAUUUUCUAAAUGGAAGGAUGCUUUUGGUGUUGCAGAAAAGUUGUGAUGUCACAAUGCUUAAAUCAGCCGAUGACAGAUGUGCAAAUGUGAAAUUUGUUUUUAGUUAACUGACCUUUAAACAGACACUUAAUCUUCUAUUAAUCUUUAAGCAGAGACUGUACUUUCACAUUGCAGGGAAUCGGAUAAAAUGCAUCCUGUCAUAACCCUACAGCACAGCUUGGCACAGAGAUUUGUUACCCGUUCUGAAGGUGCUGCAUGAACACCAGUGGAAUACUGUUAGUAUUAACAUGCAACCAACAUGCUUACAUGCCAGCCAUUCCUGGACAUACACAUGCAAAAAUCCAUGACCAAACGACCAAAGCAUAUCACUGAAGGCUGGCUUGUUUGUCCUGAGAGGCAACAGGGAUCGUAUCUACGGCUCCCAUUCUAACACAGGCACCAAUGAAAUUCACAAACACAGCUGUUUUUGUCUACUAGGCUUCUGUUGACGCCAUGUCAUGCCUUGGAUAAAAAGAAACGCAACUUGAGGUGAAUUCAUGUUUAACUGAUCUGGCUUAGACAGCACCCAGGAGUCCUGUAUAGAUGGCAGCUUACAAAGAGGCAGAAUGAUUGUGUGGCUGAUAACAUUUCUCAAAGUAGCAGGUAUUUAUACAUUUUUGUGGAACUUUUUAUUGGCAGGAGGUCUUAGUUACACAUGGCCGGAUUAGACAUAAAAAGCACAGAAAAGCCACAAAGUGGACUCAUAACCCUGCAUCAAUAAUGCAUAAUUGUCUUUAAUGCACCUUCUUUUUUUGAAAGACAGAAACUAGGUCAGAACCACGUGAAAAGAAUAUAAGCUUCUGGGGCUGUUGUUGAAUUUACAAUCUGAUGUCGUGUGAUUCUCCUAUGUGACUUCAGGGCAAUGUUUUGGAUCUCCUCUGUUCUGUGACCCUACUGUGGACAGGUGGCCCGAAGAUGGAUGGAUGCCUGGAAGAUGAAUAGCUGCUUAUCCUCCCUCUCUCUCUCCUUCACUCACUCACUCACUCACUCAUCUAAACCAAGUUUUGUGGUUUAGUAUAAAUGAUUAUGGAAAGAGAAAACAAGUUUUAAUAUUGUCAAAAUACAAGAUAUAGACUAGGGGUAAGGUUGUCUAAAUAAACAUAAUAUUCUUGAAACCAACCAAAUAAUUUUUUUCUGCUUACAGGUUGGGUCUGGGUUGGGUCCGGCCUGGUUUUAUUAUGAUGUUACCUUGAUAAAUCUUGUUUUCUACCUUAAAUUAGCAGAUUUUAGCACAUUUAGUACACCAGUUAAAUGUCAAAUCUGAUCAAAUUGAGUAAGAAUGGAUCUUACAGAGUCAGAAAAAGACACAAGCAUUACAUUUUGACAAUUGUAACAAAAUUUUUAGAAUGUAUAUUCAUCCCAAGACUGGGCUCAGUUUGAAUUGUAAAGGGGGUACCAAUGAAAAUCCUUUUUGAGGGACCUCAGAAAGAACAGCAACAACUUUUAAGAAAUUGUCUUUAGACAAAGCACAUGUCACGCCCAGCUCGUCCGAUCCUCGUGUGUGCCACGCCCCCCUCGUUACCUCGUGUUACUACCCAAUUGUCAUCACCUGUUCCUUGUUAUUUCCUGUCCAUCUGGUGUACUUAGUCCGCGUCUAAGUCAGUAUCCCCCAGAUCUGUCAUUGUGGUGUAUACUGUGAGUUGUUGUGCCUCCCUGUGUACUCCCUGUUCCUGAAAUAAACCCUGUUUGUCAGUA